AUGGCAAAUACAACAACAAGCUUACAUCUACUCUCUCUGAACCAAGCAAGGCACACAAGCCUUAGCAGAAUAUCGAUGAGAAUUAUGAUCAUGAAAAUGGUGAGCCAAGAACAAUUUGAAAAGUUACUGCUUCACAUGAACAUUUCACUAGACAAGAACAAUCACAAAAAGGGACACAACACAUACAUUUCUGUAAAAUAUAAUGCGAACAUAGUCUCCUUGCGAGAAUUGCGUCUCAAGAUCCUUGCAAGCCGCUGCAGCAAUAUCCAUAUAGAUCACACGCUUCACGAUAAGAUAGAGAGACUGAAUUUUCGAUCCAGGAAUGGUAUUUCUUACCAUUGA